CGUUCUCUCCCGUGUCGCUCUCCUCCCGAGCGGCCCUCUCUGGAGCUCCCGAACGUCACGCGAUCGCCUCCUCUCGCGAAUGGUCGAUCUGUUUUCUCCCCUUGCAGCGCGGGCAACUUACCACGAUAUUUCUUGUCCGUUUUUCAUGUGUCCCCAUUCCAGACCACGAUAUUUCUUGUCCGUUUUUCAUUGACCAGGGUGGUCUAGAAUUCUUUAAACCGUGAUGGAUGAUUCUAUUGGUUUCACUGAUCGAAGAAAUUAGCUGAUCCGGGAGGGAGGUGUUGAUUUUGUGCUAUCCUACCAAGUUUCACAGAAAAUUAUGGCGAAGUUGUGGAAUUGAUUCCAGUGGAUGCAUACAUGGAGCUGUCUUCAUGAUGCUAUUGGAGCUUUUAGUAGCUUGCGACAUCUUUCAAAAAUGUUGAAGCGAUGGCUGUCGUUAGUUUCCAAGUGUG